GACGAACGCUGGCGGCGUGCUUAACACAUGCAAGUCGAACGGUAAGGCCCUUCGGGGUACACGAGUGGCGAACGGGUGAGUAACACGUGGGUGAUCUGCCCUGCACUUCGGGAUAAGCCUGGGAAACUGGGUCUAAUACCGGAUAGGACCCUGGGAUGCAUGUCCUGGGGUGGAAAGCUUUUGCGGUGUGGGAUGGGCCCGCGGCCUAUCAGCGUGUUGGUGGGGUGAUGGCCUGCCAAGGCGACGACGGGUAGGCGGCCUGAGAGGGUGACCGGCCACACUGGGGCUGAGAUACGGCCCAGACUCCUACGGGAGGCAGCAGUGGGGAAUAUUGCACAAUGGGCGCAAGCCUGAUGCAGCGACGCCGCGUGAGGGAUGACGGCCUUCGGGUUGUAAACCUCUUUCAGCACCGACGAAGCGCAAGUGACGGUAGGUGCAGAAGAAGGACCGGCCAACUACGUGCCAGCAGCCGCGGUAA
rnacentral:rRNA from 1 species